GUGGGGAAUAUUGGGCAAUGGGGGAAACCCUGACCCAGCAACGCCGCGUGAAGGAAGAAGGCUUUCGGGUUGUAAACUUCUUUUACCAGGGACGAAGAAAGUGACGGUACCUGGAGAAAAAGCUCCGGCUAACUACGUGCCAGCAGCCGCGGUAAUACGUAGGGAGCGAGCGUUGUCCGGAUUUACUGGGUGUAAAGGGCGUGUAGGCGGAGCUGCAAGUCAGAAGUGAAAUCUCCGGGCUUAACCCGGAAACUGCUUUUGAAACUGUAGCCCUUGAGUACUGGAGAGGCAGGCGGAAUUCCUAGUGUAGCGGUGAAAUGCGUAGAUAUUAGGAGGAACACCAGUGGCGAAGGCGGCCUGCUGGACAGCAACUGACGCUGAGGCGCGAAAGCGUGGGGAGCAAACAGGAUUAGAAACCCUAGUAGUCC
rnacentral:rRNA from 1 species